GGGAGGGGAUAAGGGGUUUCCGAAUGGGACACCUGGAAAAGUGAAAACAUUUGAAAUAUAAAUAAACAAAUAUCCAGUACAAAAAAAAAAAAAGAAAGAAAGAAAAAAUAUGGGUUGAUGAGAUGGCUCAGCAGGUAAGAGCACUGAGUGCUCUUCUGAAGGUUCUGAGUUCAAAUGCCAGCAACCACAUGGUGGCUUACAACCACCUAUAAUAAGAUCUGACACUCUCUUCUGGUGAGUCUGAAGAGAGCUACAGUGGUCUUAUGAAUAAUAAAAAAAUAAAUCUUUUUUAAAAUGCUUAAAAUAAAGAAAAAUUUUUUUGAAUUUGUCUUUAAGGUCUAUGUUUAAAAGAGAGGAAGAGAAACUGACUCAAAAAUGUAAUUUGAUACUUUACUUUUUUUGUUAUUGUUGUUUUUAGAUAGAUUCUCCUAUAGCUCAGGCUGGUCACAUACUCACUAUGCAGUGGAGGUUGUCCUCGAAUGACUGACCUUCUUGCUUUACCUCCUAAUUUCUAGGAGUAUAAACCUUAUAGACCUUCAUAACACACUCAGAAACCUCAACUUUUUAAAUAAAAAAUGUUUUUAAUAACCU
rnacentral:lncRNA from 1 species